CCUACGGGAGGCAGCAGUGAGGAAUAUUGGUCAAUGGACGAGAGUCUGAACCAGCCAAGUAGCGUGAAGGAUGACUGCCCUAUGGGUUGUAAACUUCUUUUAUAUGGGAAUAAAACGUUCCACGUGUGGGAUUUUGUAUGUACCAUCUGAAUAAGGAUCGGCUAACUCCGUGCCAGCAGCCGCGGUAAUACGGAGGAUCCGAGCGUUAUCCGGAUUUAUUGGGUUUAAAGGGAGCGUAGGUGGAUUGUUAAGUCAGUUGUGAAAGUUUGCGGCUCAACCGUAAAAUUGCAGUUGAAACUGGCAGUCUUGAGUACAGUAGAGGUGGGCGGAAUUCGUGGUGUAGCGGUGAAAUGCUUAGAUAUCACGAAGAACUCCGAUUGCGAAGGCAGUUCACUGGACUGCAACUGACACUGAGGCUCGAAAGUGUGGGUAUCAAACAGGAUUAGAUACCCCUGUAGUC
rnacentral:rRNA from 1 species